ACAGGCGGUAUGAAAGAGACCUGUUCAGUCAGGCGCCGACGGAGCAACCACCCCGGAAUCUCUCAGGCAAAAGGAUCGUACCAGCCCG
rnacentral:ncRNA from 2 species